rnacentral:lncRNA from 10 species
CUGGGGCCGAGGUUAUAGAAUGACUAUUGUACAGAUGGAACAAGAGUGGGAAAUAGUCCCAGGCAGGGAAUGGCAUCUCCAUUUCAUGAUGAACUUCCUGUCACAUUUUAUUUCCCAGGUUGUGAACUCUUCACGGGCAAAGAUGGGAUCUGAUUGUCAUUCAAAACGCAGUGCCUAAUUCAAUGCCUGGCACAUUGUCCGGUGAAUGAACUUAUUAACCCACAACAAAAUGUAACUGCAGGAGAGACCAGAAUAUUCUUGGCCAUUGAUGGUGUCUCACUCUGUUACCCAGGCUGGAGUGCUGUGGCGCUAUCUUGGCUCACUGCAGCCUCUACCUCCUUGGCUCAAGUGAUCCUCAGCCUCCUGAAUAGCUAGGACUACAAGGAAGCUUACCAUGGGAUUUAUAAAGAGAUAAACUAAUAAGGAAAUUCAUCAUAAUAUUAUAAUAAAAAAACCCAAAUCUAGAAGGAAAGAAAAUGUGUGCCACCAGGAAAUUCUUUACUUUGGUCACACUCCACCAGAGUGACACCCCCACCUACUUUUACUCCUCAGUGUUUCCCUAGUACCUCGCCCAAGGCCUAGAUGCUCAGUAAUAGUUGUUGAAUGAAUUUAAAUGAUGGUAUCAAACUACAAUUAAUUAACUGAAAAGAUGUCUAUGGUAUGUUAAGUAAAAAAAAAAGUGACAAAAUAAAAUAUAAAAUGUGAUUAUUUA